rnacentral:rRNA from 1 species
GCCGGUUACAGGGCGCAGCCUGAUCCAGCCAUUCCGCGUGAGUGAAGAAGGCCUUCGGGUUGUAAAGCUCUUUCGCAAGGGAAGAAAACUUACCUUCUAAUAAAGGGUGAGGUUGACGGUACCUUGAUAAGAAGCACCGGCUAACUACGUGCCAGCGCCGCGGUAAUUGA